UGAAGGCCUCCCAGGAAGGGAUCAGCUAUAAAAAGGACCCCAGAGAACUUUGCCUUGAAGAAGAGCAGUGCCUGUCCCAGGGUAGAGGCAGGCCUGACUGCCCACAACAGCAGGAACAGAAGGGCCCGGUGCCAGCAUAGACAGGCUCUGCUGUAGACCACUGAGGGGGUGAAAAGGAGACAGACAGAGAGCUGCUGCUUUUUACAAUAAACUCUGUAUUGUGCACAUGAAGACCUGGAGAUGUGCCGACUUCCUGUCCCCAAAGCCAAUCUUCCCCGCCAAGGCGACUGAGGAUUUCAAGGGCUCAGAGUUACUGCAGGAAUCCAGGUGAGGAAACUGAGGCUCGUUACUGACUUGCCCAAGAUUCCACAGUGGAAGAGCCUGGACGUGAACUGCGUCUCCAGGUCUCGAACCAUUUCCUGUCCUGGUCCCAGGACCUAGGUGGGGCCGCCGCGCGGUCAGACAGAGCCGGCCCGCCUGGGACCCCUUGGCUGCCCUCGCCCCCCGGCCCCGCCCCCCGCAC
rnacentral:lncRNA from 1 species